CCUACGGGUGGCAGCAGUGGGGAAUAUUGGGCAAUGGGCGCAAGCCUGACCCAGCAACGCCGCGUGAAGGAAGAAGGCUUUCGGGUUGUAAACUUCUUUUGUCAGGGACGAAGCAAGUGACGGUACCUGACGAAUAAGCCACGGCUAACUACGUGCCAGCAGCCGCGGUAAUACGUAGGUGGCAAGCGUUAUCCGGAUUUACUGGGUGUAAAGGGCGUGUAGGCGGGGAAGCAAGUCAGAUGUGAAAACCACGGGCUCAACCUGUGGCCUGCAUUUGGAACUGCGCGGCUGGAGUGCAGGAGGGGCAGGCGGAAUUCCUGGUGUAGCGGUGAAAUGCGUAGAUAUCAGGAGGAACACCAGUGGCGAAGGCGGAUUGCUGGACAGUAACUGACGCUGAGGCGCGAAAGCGUGGGGAGCAAACAGGAUUAGAUACCCGUGUAGUC
rnacentral:rRNA from 1 species